AACGAACGCUGGCGGCAUGCCUAACACAUGCAAGUCGAACGAGACCUCCGUGUCUUGUGGCGCAUGGGUGUGUAACGCGUGGGAACCUUUCCUUAGAGUUCGAAUUACUCCUCGAAAGGGGUGCUAACAACGGCAAAUGUCUUCGGAUCAAAGAUUUAUCGCCUUUGGAUGGGCCCGUGAUGGAUUAGCUAGUCGGUAGGGUAAAAGCCUACCAGGGCUACGAUCGAUAGCUGGUCUGAGACGAUGAACAGCCACACUGGGACUGUGACACAGCCGAGACUAGUACGGGAGGGCGCAGAGGCGAAUAGUGCACAAAAGGCGGCAGCAAGAUCCACCAGUGCCUCGUGAGUGAUGAAGGCCUUAGAGUUGUAAAGCACUUUAACCCAAGCUGGUAAUGACAGUACCGGGAGAAUAAGCUCCGGCUAACUCCGUG
rnacentral:rRNA from 1 species